rnacentral:rRNA from 1 species
AUGACGAUGUCUGGGCGGUACGUGGCGGCCACGGGCGCCCUCAUGGCGUGCGGCCACUGCGGCGGCCUCCGCCGCGUCAGGAUGGAGGGCGAGUUCGUCUCCUGCGACUCGUGCGGCAAGGUCCUGCAGCAGCGGGGCCGGAAGCAGCGCGCCUUGGAGGUGGAGGCUCGGCGGCGGCGGCGCUGGUUGGGGGCCAGGAAGAGACGGGACGGCCGCGCGGCGGCCGGUGGCGGAGGCAUGGUCGUCGGACGGGAGGCAUCUGAUGCCGAGUCCGACACUGGUUGUGUUUGUUUCGUGGAAUCGUCGUCGUAG